rnacentral:rRNA from 1 species
UCGAGAAUCUUCGGCAAUGGGCGCAAGCCUGACCGAGCGACGCCGCGUGGAGGAUGAAGGCCUUCGGGUUGUAAACUCCUGUCGUAGGGGAGGAAAGCGCAAGCUUGACCUAUCCUAGGAGGAAGCACGGGCUAAGUUCGUGCCAGCAGCCGCGGUAAGACGAAUCGUGCGAACGUUGUUCGGAAUCACUGGGCUUAAAGGGCGCGUAGGCGGGCCAUCAAGUCCGGGGUGAAAUCCUUCGGCUUAACCGGAGAAUUGCCUUGGAUACUGGUGGUCUUGAGGGAAGUAGGGGUCUGCGGAACUUCCGGUGGAGCGGUGAAAUGUGUUGAUAUCGGAAGGAACGCCGGUGGCGAAAGCGGCGGACUGGGCUUCUUCUGACGCUGAGGCGCGAAAGCUAGGGGAGCAAACGGGAUUAGAUACCCCGGUAGUCCUAGCCCUAAACGAUGGGUACUAGGUUGCGGACUAGACAUGGGUUCGCAGCCGAAGCAAAAGUG